UAAGGAAUAUUGGUCAAUGGACGCAAGUCUGAACCAGCCAUGCCGCGUGGAGGGUGAAGGCCCUCUGGGUUGUAAACUUCUUUUAUGGGGGACGAAAUCACUUAUUCUUAAGUGUCUGACGGUACCCCAGGAAUAAGCACCGGCUAACUCCGUGCCAGCAGCCGCGGUAAUACGGAGGGUGCAAGCGUUAUCCGGAUUCACUGGGUUUAAAGGGUGCGUAGGAGGGCAGGAAAGUCAGUGGUGAAAUCCUAGGGCUUAACUCUAGAACUGCCGUUGAUACUACUUGUCUUGAAUAUCGUGGAGGUGAGCGGAAUAUGUCAUGUAGCGGUGAAAUGCUUAGAUAUGACAUAGAACACCAAUUGCGAAGGCAGCUCACUACACGAAUAUUGACUCUGAGGCACGAAAGCGUGGGGAUCAAAACAGGAUUAGAUACCCUGGUAGUCCACGCCCUAAACUAUGGAUACUCGACAUACGCGAUACACUGUGUGUGUCUGAGCGAAAGCAUUAAGUAUCCCACCUGGGAAGUACGACCGCAAGGUUGAAACUUAAAGGAAUUGACGGGGUCAUAGCUGUUUCCUG
rnacentral:rRNA from 1 species